GCACCCAGCAUUCCCAAUGGGAACAGAGAUACCCAGCAUUCCCAUUGGGAACAGAGGUACCCAGCAUUCCCAAUGGGAACAGAGGUACCCAGCACAGAGGUACCCAGCAUUCCCAAUGGGAACAGAGGCACCCAGCAUUCCCAAUGGGAACAGAGGUACCCAGCAUUCCCAAUGGGAACAGAGGUACCCAGCACAGAGGUACCCAGCAUUCCCAUUGGGAACAGAGGUACUCAGCACAGAGGUACCCAGCAUUCCCAAUGGGAACAGAGGUACCCAGCACAGAGGUACCCAGCAUUCCCAAUGGGAACAGAGGUACUCAGCACAGAGGUACCCAGCACAGAGGUACCCAGCAUUCCCAAUGGGAACAGAGGUACCCAGCACAGAGGUACCCAGCAUUCCCAAUGGGAACAGAGGUACCCAGCACAGAGGUACCCAGCAUUCCCAAUGGGAA